rnacentral:rRNA from 1 species
UACGAAGGGGGCUAGCGUUGCUCGGAAUCACUGGGCGUAAAGGGUGCGUAGGCGGGUCUUUUAAGUCAGGGGUGAAAUCCUGGAGCUCAACUCCAGAACUGCCUUUGAUACUGAAGAUCUUGAGUUCGGGAGAGGUGAGUGGAACUGCGAGUGUAGAGGUGAAAUUCGUAGAUAUUCGCAAGAACACCAGUGGCGAAGGCGGCUCACUG